rnacentral:rRNA from 1 species
CAAGUCGAACGAUGAUGCCCAGCUUGCUGGGUGGAUUAGUGGCGAACGGGUGAGUAACACGUGAGUAACCUGCCCCUGACUCUGGGAUAAGCGUUGGAAACGACGUCUAAUACUGGAUAUGACUGCCGGCCGCAUGGUCUGGUGGUGGAAAGAUUUUUUGGUUGGGGAUGGACUCGCGGCCUAUCAGCUUGUUGGUGAGGUAAUGGCUCACCAAGGCGACGACGGGUAGCCGGCCUGAGAGGGUGACCGGCCACACUGGGACUGAGACACGGCCCAGACUCCUACGGGAGGCAGCAGUGGGGAAUAUUGCACAAUGGGCGAAAGCCUGAUGCAGCAACGCCGCGUGAGGGAUGACGGCCUUCGGGUUGUAAACCUCUUUUAGUAGGGAAGAAGCGAAAGUGACGGUACCUGCAGAAAAAGCACCGGCUAACUACGUGCCAGCAGCCGCGGUAAUACGUAGGGUGCAAGCGUUGUCCGGAAUUAUUGGGCGUAAAGAGCUCGUAGGCGGUUUGUCGCGUCUGCUGUGAAAUCCCGAGGCUCAACCUCGGGCUUGCAGUGGGUACGGGCAGACUAGAGUGCGGUAGGGGAGAUUGGAAUUCCUGGUGUAGCGGUGGAAUGCGCAGAUAUCAGGAGGAACACCGAUGGCGAAGGCAGAUCUCUGGGCCGUAACUGACGCUGAGGAGCG